rnacentral:rRNA from 1 species
AAUCAACGCUGGCGGCGUGCCUCAGACAUGCAAGUCGAACGAUUAAGACUCCCUUCGGGGAGUGCAUAAAGUGGCGCACGGGUGAGUAACACGUAAGUAAUCUACCCUCGAGUGGGGAAUAACGUCCGGAAACGGGCGCUAAUACCGCAUAAUGCAGCGGCACCGCAAGGUGACAGUUGUUAAAGGAGCAAUCCGCUUGAGGUGGAGCUUGCGGCAGAUUAGCUUGUUGGUAAGGUAACGGCUUACCAAGGCUACGGUCUGUAUCCGGUCUGAGAGGACGGUCGGACACACUGACACUGAAUAACGCGUCAGACUCCUACGGGAGGCAGCAGUCGGGAAUUUUGGGCAAUGGGCGAAAGCCUGACCCAGCAACGCCGCGUGAAGGAUGAAGUAUUUCGGUAUGUAAACUUCGAAAGAAUGGGAAGAAUAAAUGACGGUACCAUUUAUAAGCUCCGGCUAACUACGUGCCAGCCGCCGCAGUAAAAC